CACGGUGCAGGCAGAAGCAGAGAAGGACUUCAGGAAGGCCCAAGAGACAGAGUGGAGAGAGCGAGCAGCAGUGAGGUAGAGCUGAUCAACGGUGGGUAAGAGACCUCAGCUUACCCAAUCUCACAGGGUAACUAAGGAAAAAUGAAAAAUGCUGCUUAAGGGGCUGGAAUGCUGUCAAGCCACUAUCAGAACAUGGACAUGAUGCUAGAGGUGGCAUAACUAAUAAAAGGAUGGAGGCCACAUAUAAAGUAUCGAAGAGCAGAAAGCUAGAAGAAAUCUGGGUCUACCAUGAGGGCACAGACCAGCUUUGGACCACUGAUCUCCAAACUUUUCAACAUGAGAAAAAAAAAACAAACUAGUCAUUUGUUAUUUAAUCUG
ensembl:lncRNA